CCCACAGAUGACUGCUGCCAUCAGACUGUCCAGUAGAAAUGCUUCUUAUAGCUGUGGAGGUUACAUCAGAGAUUCCAAGUGGUUGGACUGCUAAAUCUGUGGACAACUGGUCCUCUAAAUUUAGUCAAGCAUACAUACCCUGGACUGUAUUUUCUGUGUCCCCACAAAUUGGACUGACUUCUUGGAACCACUUGAAGUACAGUGGUGUCUUCCAGCAGGCUUGGAGGCAUCUGAUGCCAGGGGUUUGCUUGAAGGAUCCGAGCUCAGCAGCGGGAUCUGACACACCCAGACACUGCCUAGGCCCCGGUGACAGUCCCACUUCCAUCCACGACAAGAGGACCAACAUCAGAAUAUUGGAACUAUUUGCAUCUACCAGAAGGGAACCUUGGUCCCAUACCCACCAGGAGAGGAAGAGACUCCAGCCACAUCCGCCAGAAGAAAGGAUGAGAAAAGGUCAAUGUAAAAGCAUAUUCAACAACAGAAAACCCAAUAUGACACCACCAGACACUAGGAACUAUACACUAGCAAGACCUGAACAUCACAAUGCAGAUGAACCAGAAGAGACUGACCUUAAAAACAUCUUCAUGAAAAUCAUAGAGGACCUCAAAGAGGACAUGAGAAAAUCCCUUAAAGAAAUGGAAGAAAAAAACAAACCAAAAAAUACAAGAUAUCAAAAAAUCUCUCAAGGAAACAGUUCAAGACCUAAAAACUGAAAUAGAGAUAAUAAAGAAAGCACAAUUAUUUGUAAUAGUCAGAAACUGGAAGCAGCCUAGAUGCCUCUCAACCAAAGAAUGGAUAGAGAAAAUGUGGUACAUUUACACAAUGGAGUACUACUCAGCAGAAACAAACAAUGGAAUCUUGAAAUUUGCAGGAAAAUAGAUAGAACAAGAAGAAACCAUUCUGAGCGAGGUAACCCAAUCAUCAAAAGACAAGCAUGGUAUGUACUCACUCAUAUAUGGAUUUUAGACAUAGAGUAAAGGAUUACCAGCCUACAAUCCACACUGCCAGAGAAGCU
rnacentral:lncRNA from 1 species